AGGAGGUGCUGCACGGCCAGGUCUGCACAGCUGCAUGAGACGAACCUUCCCUCCUGGGUGAUCUACAGGGAGGGACACUUYCGUGCCCGGCCCGGCCGCGCGGUACCAGCGCAGCCUGCCUGCGAUGGGCAGCUGUCGCGGUGUGGCUGCGGCAAGUGGUGACAGCAAGGCAAACGGCCCUUCUCGAGCAUCAAGCGCAGGUGCCGAGUGCCGGUGGUCCUGGGUCCUGCAAACACGGCAGGUCCUGGAGACCCGGCAUUGCCUCUUCUGGGCAACAGCAGCUUGAUCUAGGAAUUGGGGGAAUCRUGCAGAAACAYGAAACUGUUGUUGGAGAAGACGCUGGAUCUGAAUCUGAYAUGUGUAUGGAGCAGGAUGGAAUUGGGYUUAURCAGACACAUUUCAAGGCAGAACUGCCUCUUGAGCUGCUGAUGCCUUGACAACGUCCCCAAAGCAGCUGGAAGGAGGAAUGAGCUGGGUUACCAGCAUCCRCGUCACSAAGGGAAAGAAAACAGCCUUCCUGCUCUGACUGUCCUCAAUGUGUUUGAUUUCUGCUUCAYACUAAAACGUAUAUUCAGUGAAAUACUGGGCAGGASAGGCUGAGAAAAGAAAGGAAAAUCCAAAAGCUCUUUGAGCUGCAGCCAGUGGACACCGGCCUCUUUCUAACGCUGUGUAUUAUGCAUAUUGCGUCRGAUUAGGUAAAAGCUCUUUGUUAAUCCUCCCAGUCRAGGGCAAAGGCCCCAGCCAGGCCAGACGAGUUUGGGAGGUGAAUAUGCAACUGCACAGAUGGCAGCAACAGGGCUUUGGCCUCCGUGAGCGGGAGACCACGUCCCAGGCAGGAGGAUGAGACCGGUAACGGGGGGUUAACGCUCUGGGUACGUGAUGGUGAAGUGGUAGGAGGGGUCGCAGUCAUGCCCAGGGUGCUGGGGAUCCCCAGCAGCRCUCGCAAGGGCAGGGGCCGCCUUGGGUUUGCUCCCAGCAGCAGCGAGGCGACUGGCAGAGC
rnacentral:lncRNA from 1 species